rnacentral:rRNA from 1 species
UACGUAGGGUGCAAGCGUUGUUCGGAAUCAUUGGGCGUAAAGCGCGUGUAGGUGGUUAGGUAAGUUAGGUGUGAAAUCCCUCGGCUCAACCGAGGAAGUGCACUUAAAACUACCUAGCUAGAGGACGGUAGAGGAAGGUGGAAUUCCUAGUGUAGAGGUGAAAUUCGUAGAUAUUAGGAGGAAUACCGGUGGCGAAGGCGGCCUUCUGGGCCGUUCCUGACACUGAGACGCGAAAGCGUGGGGAGCAAACAGG